rnacentral:rRNA from 1 species
UUUCCGGUUGAUCCUGCCGGAGGCCACUGCUAUCGGGGUUCGAUUUAGCCAUGCGAGUCGAGAGGGUUUAGACCCUCGGCGGACUGCUCAGUAACACGUGGAUAACCUGCCCUAAGGUGGAGGAUAACCCCGGGAAACUGGGGAUAAUACUCCAUAGAUUAGAGAUACUGGAAUGUUCUUUAGUCAAAAGUUCUGGCGCCUUAGGAUGGAUCUGCGGUCGAUUAGGUUGUUGUUGGGGUAACGGCCCAACAAGCCUGUAAUCGAUACGGGUUGUGGGAGCAAUAGCCCGGAGAUGGAAUCUGAGACAAGAUUCCAGGCCCUACGGGGCGCAGCAGGCGCGAAAACUUUACAAUGCAGGAAACUGUGAUAAGGGAACCCCGAGUGCCCGUAUACGCGGGCUGUCCAGGUGUUUAAAAGUCAUCUGAAGAAAGGGCCGGGCAAGACCGGUGCCAGCCGCCGCGGUAAUACCGGCGGCUCGAGUGGUGGCCACUAUUAUUGGGCUUAAAGCGUCCGUAGCUGGACUGAUAAGUCUCUUGGGAAAUCCGCCGGCUCAACCGGCGGGCGUCUAAGGGAUACUGUUGGUCUAGGGACCGGGAGAGGUGAGAGGUACUCCGGGGGUAGGAGUGAAAUCCUGUAAUCCCCGGGGGACCACCGAUGGCGAAGGCAUCUCACCAGAACGGCUCCGACAGUGAGGGACGAAAGCUGGGGGAGCAAACCGGAUUAGAUACCCGGGUAGUCCCAGCCGUAAACUAUGCGCGUUAGGUGUGCUGGUGACCACGUGUCACCGGGGUGCCGAAG